rnacentral:tmRNA from 1 species
GGGGGCGAAACAGGAUCGACGAGGGCGUAAAGGGCGAGCUUUUGUCCGGAAUGGUUCCGCCGUGAUCGGGCCAUGCAAUAGUUGCCAACGACAACUAUGCUCCGGUUGCUCAGGCAGCGUAACGCUGCUUGAAAGACCACAUGAAAGUCCUGGCGGGUUAAGCGCCGCCAGGCGGGGUUCGGAGGCGCCUGGCAACAGAAGCCUCCACU